rnacentral:rRNA from 1 species
UGCCUCAGUAACGGCGAGUGAAGCGGCAACAGCUCAAAUUUGAAAUCUGGCUCUUUCAGGGUCCGAGUUGUAAUUUGUAGAAGAUGCUUUGGGUGUGGCUCCGGUCUAAGUUCCUUGGAACAGGACGUCAUAGAGGGUGAGAAUCCCGUAUGUGACUGGCCGCCUUCGCCCGUGUAAAGCUCUUUCGACGAGUCGAGUUGUUUGGGAAUGCAGCUCAAAAUGGGUGGUAAAUUUCAUCUAAAGCUAAAUAUUGGCCAGAGACCGAUAGCGCACAAGUAGAGUGAUCGAAAGAUGAAAAGCACUUUGGAAAGAGAGUUAAACAGUACGUGAAAUUGUUGAAAGGGAAGCGCUUGCAACCAGACUUGCGCGCAGUUAAUCAUCUGGUGUUCUCACUGGUGCACUUUUCUGCGUUCAGGCCAGCAUCGGUUCAGGUGGUGGGAUAAAGGCCUUGGGAAUGUAGCUUCUUUCGGGGAGUGUUAUAGCCCUCGGUGCAAUGCCGCCUAUCUGGACCGAGGACCGCGCUUCGGCUAGGAUGCUGGCGUAAUGGUUGUAAGCGACCCGUCUUGAAACACGGACAAAGGAGUCUAACAUCUAUG